CCCUUAGAUGUUCUGGGCUGCACGCGUGCUACACUGAUAUUGCCAAUAUGUCAUUCUUAUCCGAAAUGGAUUGGGUAAUCAAGUAAUGAAAUUUCAUGCUUGGAAUCGGUAAUUGCAAUUUUAUCGUGAACGAGGAAUUCCUAGUAAGCACUAGUCAUCAGCUAAUGUUGAUUAUGUCCCUGCCCUUUGUACACACCGCCCGUCGCUACUACUGAUUGGGUGUUCAAGUGAGAUGCUUAGACCCUUGUUGCAUGGUUCAUUAUUGUGCUCCGAAAGGAAAAAGUUUCAAACUUGAGUGUCUAGAGGAAGUAAAAGUCGUAACA
rnacentral:rRNA from 1 species